AUGGCCAAAGCUUAAAAUAAUGAGGUUAUUUAAAAGAAAUCCCUGUAAGCGAAAUACCUCAGAUUUCCUCCUGUUCUGAACGCUCUGUUUUGAAAUGUUUUUUCUACCAACGGCUCCGUUCUACGUAAUACGGAGCUAGAGGCAGAGCCCUUCUAAAGAGAGAGUCGCGUCAUCUCCGUUCACUCCAGUGGACCAGUUUUUCACAGCAGUGGCGGAUCAUGGAGCGUCUGAAUAGUUCCUGGAAGUUGGCAUCAAAUUCUAGCAGCGCAGCGGAGCUGCAAUAGAAAAUGCUAUUCGGGAUGCACAUUUAAAAGCAAAAGAAUUCGGUGGAGCUUGAAGAUUAUCUGCAGUGAUGUUUUUAAUAAACCAGACAUUGAGCCA